rnacentral:rRNA from 1 species
ACAUGCAAGUCGAGCGGUAGAGAGAAGCUUGCUUCUCUUGAGAGCGGCGGACGGUGAGUAAAGCCUAGGAAUCUGCCUGGUAGUGGGGGAUAACGUUCGGAAACGGACGCUAAUACCGCAUACGUCCUACGGGAGAAAGCAGGGGACCUUCGGGCCUUGCGCUAUCAGAUGAGCCUAGGUCGGAUUAGCUAGUUGGUGAGGUAAUGGCUCACCAAGGCGACGAUCCGUAACUGGUCUGAGAGGAUGAUCAGUCACACUGGAACUGAGACACGUCCAGACUCCUACGGGAGGCAGCAGUGGGGAAUAUUGGACAACGGGCGAAAGCCUGAUCCAGCCAUGCCGCGUGUGUGAAGAAGGUCUUCGGAUUGUAAAGCACUUUAAGUUGGGAGG